rnacentral:lncRNA from 1 species
CUCAUCUUGAAAUUCUUAGUUUUAUGACAUUUGCAAAACCCCUCUUUCCAAAUAAGGUUGCAGUCAGAGCUUCUGGGGGUUAGGACAUCCUCUUAAGUAAUCCCCUCAUGGGAAACCACGGCAGCGUUAUUUCCUCUUCAUCUUACAGCAUUCACUGGGAAUGACGGCAUUGUGGUUUUGAGCCUCUGGACUGUGGGUGCCUGCAGCCCAGGUCACAGAAAGGGGCCGCCGGACUUCUGCAGCUCUGUGUCCUCUAUCUGGAGCCCACAGGCGUGCCCCUUUGAUGACACACUCUCUGUGCUGCACAGUCUGGCUGUUCACCAAACUGUUUGGAGCUUUCUGCUAUGUCCCGGAAGCCCGAGAGAGAGGACCCUGCCCCCACCACCAUGUGAGGACACAGCAAGAAGACCCCAUUUAUGAAUCAGAAAAUCCACUCUCACCGGACACCAAAUCUGUCAGUACCCAGGUCCUGGACUUGCCAGCCUCAGAACUGAACACAGAAGACCAGCAUUAUAGUUAAAAUAGACGUCGUAAGAUUGACAAAACAGACUCUUUGUGAUGAUAAGAUACCAAAUUACAUACAAGACCUAAGACUCCAGGUUUUGCAGACUCCAGGUUUUAAGCAGACCUUACUCCUUUAACCAACUGCAAAUUAAAGAAGCCCUGAAUCCAUCUGUAACCUGUCAGCCCGCCCCUCUUCAAGAUAUUCUGCCUUUUCAGGCCAAACCAAUGUAUGUCUUCCAUGUACUGAUUUAUGACUUUGCCUGUAACUCCUUCCUCCCUAAAAUGCAUCAAAUCAAUUUUUACUUUAAGUUCUGGGAUACAUGGGCAGAAUGUGCAGGUUUGUUACAUAGGUAUAUGUGUGCCAUGGUGGUUUGCUGCACCAUCGUCUAGGUUUUAAGCCCUGCAUGCAUUAGGUAUUUGUCCUAAUACUCUCCCUCCCUUAUCUCCCACACCCCCUCCCUUGACAGGCUCCGGUGUGUGAUGUUCCCCUCCCUGUGUCCAUGUGUUCUCAUUGUUCAACUCAUGAUCGCAUGAGUGAGAACAUGCGGUGUUUCGUUUUCUGUUCCUGUGUUACUUUGCUGAAAAUGAUAGCUUCCAGCUUCAUCCAUGUCCCUGCAAAAGACAUGAACUCAUUCUUUUUUAUGGCUGCAACAUCAAACCAAACUUAAUCUGGCCAACCUUGGGCACACCACGGUCACUGAAAUUGUCCCAGAAUAAACUUCUUUAAAAUAUUUUACAGAGUCCAGGUGUGGUGGCUCACGCCAAAAAUCCCAGCACUUUGGGAAGCUGAGGCAGGAGGAUCACUUGAGCCCAGAAGUUUGAGACCAGCCUGGGUAACCUAGGGAGACCCCAUCUCUACAAAAAAUUAAAAAAGUAGCUAGGUGUGGUGGCACACGCCUAUAGCCCCAACUACUCAAGAAACUGAGGUGGGAGGAUCACCUGAGCCCAGAAGGUUGAGGCUGCAGUGAGCCAUGAUUGUGCCACUGCACUCCAGAGUGAGAUCUUGACUCCAAAAAUUAAUAAAUAAAUAAAAAUAAAUACA